rnacentral:lncRNA from 1 species
ACAAAUAAUUUUGUCUUAAUUUUUUCCAAGGGGAAGUUUUGAAACUUGCAGAAUGUCCUUUGGGAUUUUGGGGUUGAAUCUGCUUCCUCUGAGGCUCCUUUGGUGCUGCUAUGUUCCUUCAUCCCCUGGCAGCCCUGUUUUGGGAGAAGCUCAGCCACAGGCACAGGACUGUGGGACAGCAGCAAUGUCCCCCUGGCAACCCUGUUUUCUGGAGCAGCAAACAACACAAUGCCAAACUUCCAAAAAAAAUCAUUCUCUCAGGCAAGCAGAAAACAACAGCUUGCAAGGUAGAAAUAUAUGUAUUGACAUUUGAUUUCUUGCUGCUCAAACAUACUUUGGGGUUUCAUUUCUCCUGAGCUCAACUGCUGGUUGUUUAUACAGGCUACUGGCUGUUUACAUUAGGUCAAUACACAGGACAGGCUGUUUAUACCGGACCAGCAACAAAUUCCACAGCACGAUCUGUGUCUAGCACUGCUGCUUUUUGUAUGUGCAGAGCUGGAAAGAAAUAAAGAAAUUGGCUCUGGAAAUCAACAGGCAACAAGACCUCCUAUGUGUGGAGUAUCCCUUGAGUCAGAAGUGACCAGCACCUUCACUAUUUAGUGUUCUUUUCAAAAAUAUACAGUGCUGAGAAUGGGAUCAGCACAAGAAGAGUGGCAAAUGAUGGGGAAGAGCCAAGAAGAAAGUGAACAGUCCCAGCUGAUGUUUGUCUCCAUCUACAGGGUCACAGAACACACAUUUGUGAGCACUUGCUGCAGUUGCACACACAGGUUUGCAGUGUGCUUAGCUCACAGUGUAGCUGGUCCCAGCUCCACAGACUCAAAGCCUCCUAUGUUUGAUUGGAAUGUUUCUCUUCUGAAUGACUUCAUGGGCUGCUCUGACAGAGCUAUGUACAGAGCUCAGUUCUCCUGUCCUGGAUGCUUUUCACUUGGCAGCUGGCCUCAUCCCAACUAAGUCAGGAGUAAAAAUUCAUGAUGGUUUUGGCUGGCCAAAGGGUCAGGAGGCUGAGGAUGGAUAUCUGGAUGCUGCAGCACUCUGGGGAGAGCAGGGAGCUGCAGCAUCUCCAAGAAGCCUCUGUGAGUACAAAGGUUCAGUCUGAUCUUUAAAAGUUUUUCUCUGCUUUUUUUUUUAUUCUUGGGCAUAGAUGCAAUCCAUGAGAAUCUGCUUCCAGCGCUUCUUUGCAGACUCCCUUUGCUCAUAUUUCAUACUAAGGAAAACGAGCUCCAUGGUACGUGGCAGCUGUGUGGGUCAGGUUUGGAGGGCUGAAGACUCUGCAUCCAGGCUAAUCAAUACUUGCCACAGGGGUUAGAGCUACAGUGCCGUUCUUUACCACGCCCCUAACUGAACCCCAUCAGCCCAGGAACAGGCUGGUUUGAUGUUGUUUAGCUGUCAGUGCUGCAUUUGCACUGGGGGCUGCAUCCAUCUCUUAGCCCCUGCUGCCAUCAGUGGGGAAGAGCUGUGCCCCUUGUAGCUUAUAAGCACUAGAGCUGUGCGGAGCACAGAAUAAAAAUCCCACCCCAGUAUUUAAACUUCA